rnacentral:rRNA from 1 species
AACGUAGGACGCAAGCGUUAUCCGGAGUUACUGGGCGUAAAGCGCGGGCAGGCGGCUCUGUAAGUCUGAUGUGAAAGCGCCCGGCUCAACCGGGCGAGGCCAUUGGAAACUUCAGAGCUGGAGGGCAGUAGAGGCAGGCGGAAUUCCGGGUGGAGUGGUGAAAUGCGUAGAGAUCCGGAGGAACACCAGAGGCGAAGGCGGCCUGCUGGCUGCACCUG